rnacentral:rRNA from 1 species
CCUACGGGAGGCAGCAGUGGGGAAUAUUGGGCAAUGGGCGCAAGCCUGACCCAGCAAUGCCGCGUGAAGGAAGAAGGCUUUCGGGUUGUAAACUUCUUUGACAGGGGAAGAGCAGAAGACGGUACCCUGAAACAAAGCCACGGCUAACUACGUGCCAGCAGCCGCGGUAAUACGUAGGUGGCAAGCGUGGUCCGGAUUUACUGGGUGUAAAGGGCGUGUAGCCGGGAAGGCAAGUCAGAUGUGAAAUCUGGAGGCUCAACCUCCAAAUUGCAUUUGAAACUGUUUUUCUUGAGUACUGGAGAGGCAGACGGAAUUCCUUGUGUAGCGGUGAAAUGCGUAGAUAUCAGGAGGAACACCAGUGGCGAAGGCGGUCUGCUGGACAGCAACUGACGGUGAGGCGCGAAAGCGUGGGGAGCAAACAGGAUUAGAUACCCUAGUAGUC